UUAUUUCAUUUUGAUUGUCUGUCGUAUAAUUCUUUUUAUUUUGAUUGGUUAGUUAUUAGUUAAUUUAUUAUUAUUGGUCGUGUUUAAUUAUUCAUAAGUUAUUGGUUCGUGGCGUCACGUGCGGAACGCGGGACCUGACACCCCCGCCCUUGGUGUUCAAAUUUCCUUCGGAAAUUUGACUGAUCGUAGCAGAUGUAGUUGCGAUUGGUUGUUGGUCCAUCCUAACGGGCAACAGCGCGAACUACAAUUCCUUACAUCAAAAGAUUUCUUUGGGGUUAUUGUGUCGUGUUAAGAUUGACAUUUAUGCAUUGCAGACAAAAUAUCGCGGGUUGGAGUUUUGUUAUUUGUAUUUCACACAAUCUACAACGCGUUCUUUGAAUUUGUGUGCAUAAAAACGUGUUGGAGGGUCUUCGUAUGGGUCGCGAUAGUCUAAGUCUAGAUUAUCGUACCCGUCUUUUUAUUAUUUUUUAUUAGAAAUAUAAUUUAUUUGUAAGGUAUUAAAGUUACUACAUACAUGCGUUGAUUGGUGGUGGAUGUCCCUAAUAUGUGGUGACUUUUGCCAAUAUCGAAUUAAUUAUCUAUCUGUUAAUUAUUUUUAACUUUAUUUUAGUAGGUGACGUGUAAUUCAAAUAAAAUUAAUAUUAUUUAUGUAUAUGUGUUUCAUUGCGCGUGCGUAAGGACUAUUCCCUAUUCGUGACAAUCUAAGAUGGCCGUUUUGAAUGUCUCUAGUAUAUGGUGAAUUUUAUUAAUGCGGUUUUGUUAUUUAUUUGUUAAUUAUUUGUGACUUUAUUUUAGUAGUUGAUGUAUAAUUGAAGUGGGAAUAAUAUUAUUCUGUAUUUAUUUUAGUGUGUAUAAUUAUUGCAUGUAGUUCAUUGCGCAUACGUGAGAACUGCUUCACGCUCGCGACGGAUUUCCAAAAUGGAUGUUUGUGUACGUCUUAAAUAAGAGUGUGGUGUUUUGUAAAUUUGUUUGAUAUUGUAAUAAUUGUUUUGUUACUUAGUUUCAACUCCGUUCUAGUGAAGUGUCAACGGUGUUUUGUGUUCGUCGUAAUGUGUAUGUUUAAUUUAACAUUGUUUUGUAUUUGUUGUAAUAUGUGUAUAUAUACUGUGUGUUAUUUUAAUGUAAUAGCGUGUGGAUUAUAUCGUUGUCGAAAAUAUUAAUUACUAACAGAAUCGUUUCACUGUUUCAUUAUAAGGUAGUUUAUAUUUAUGUAGCUUUUGUUUAAUUGGUUUAAUCUAAUGCGUGCAUAGUGUCACCAGUCACCACUGUGUAGUAUAACCUUAUUUCUUUAUACGUAAUUUAGUAUAGUAAUGCUGUAAUAGCUUAACACAAUAUGAUAAUUCCUAAUUUUAAUCAUGUUUGAUUAUUAAUGCUCGGCUAAUCUAUCUUGAUUAAUUUCUAGCCUAUUUCUAUUUUAUUAGCUAUUUCUAUAUCUUCCCUAUUAAUCUGUUGUUACUUAGUACUUGUGAUUUAUUAUUAUUUCAUAUUUGUAUAGUAUAAUUUUUUGAGCUAAUCUAUGUAUUAUUGGUUAAAACUUGUUUAUUGAAUUAUUACCGUUUGUAGUUUCUCAAAUCCUAUUCCUUCCAUGCUGUGUUACCGUGUGUAAGGCAUCAUCCGGUUUUCAUUAUAUUCAAAAUACUUACUACAGAUACCUUUAUUCAUCCUAUAUUUUUACUUCGUCUUUAUUCUCCAAGUCUACAAGCUACAUCGCUCAAGCAAGACACCUACCCAACGUAAUUGGCAAUCUUGUUUUGGCAGUCGUAUUCUAUGUUCUACAGAGUGGAUCCAUAAUUUAUCUCUGUGAAAUUCCUGCAUGUACACUUCCUUCUACAAUGAUUAAUUGUGGACUAGGUACUUUUUACUUUCACUUCCUUUAAUUAUGUUAUUGAAUUAACAUGUUUUAUAGAACACAAAUAGUAAUUUUUCUUUUCUUUUUAGGUUUCCACUAUUUGCACUAUUCGACAAGCAUUGUCGCACUUACUUUGGUUUAACCACGAUAUUGUUAUAAUCGUUUAGUAUUAUUAUAUUUUGUAUUAAGGUAAUUGAGGUUAAUUCUUCCAUUUGUUUCAGAUGGCUAUCAUACGUUAUGUUUUACGAAUAUGGGCUUAUGGCCUGUCUUUGCAUAUACACUUCCUUUUACAAUAGUUAAUUGUUCACAAGGUUUCCAUUACCCGCAUUAUUCGACGAGCAGCACUACACUACAUACUACUGUACUGUGUUACCUUCUGAAAACGUUUCGUUUAUUGUUUAUUUCGGUUAUGCGCUAAUUUUAACUUAUUUAAGUGCACUGUUCGCGGAAUCCCUUUCACUUCAAUCAUGACGUUUUGACGUUGACGUUUUUCUAAAAUUUCUAACACUCUAUGCGGUCCCGAAUAUUGGUCGGAAAAUUUUCCUCUUCUGGGUUCCUUUAAUAGAUAUACUAGAUCUCCUAUUUUGAAAUUUUGCGGGUUGAUUCGUCUGUCAUAGUAUUCUUUUGACUUUAAUUUGGAUUUUAUCAGAUUUUCUCUUGCCAUUUGUUGAACGGUGACGAUUUUAUCGAACAGGUCUCUGAGAUACUCUGCAUAUGUUGGUUCCAUAUUCUCCUCGGUUAUCAUCUCGCCAGUAGGUUCUCUGGCUAAGUGCCCAAAGACUAGUUCGUGUGGGGAGAAUUUUAUUCCUUCGUGUAAAUCUCGAAUCGUUAGUAUAUAUCCAUUUUCCUUGCGAACUAAUAACCUUUGUUGCAUUGGGUUCAAGACUACCAUGUAUCUAAUUACUACUUUCUUCCUUUUUUUCAUUUUGGUUUUUAUUUUGCGCCAAGACGCAAGUUUACUAUCACCGAACCAAUUAUCAAGUUGUUCGCCAAUAGCAUUCAAAAUACGAAGUCUUGUAAAUGCCAUAGCUAUAUUAAACCAUAAAUAUUUUGGAUAUAGUAUAGUACGAUACCAUCUAUAGUUUCCAAGAGGUAUCAUUAGAUCAGCAUUUUUGCUGGCUACAUCAGACACUAGGUAUAGUAACCAAUGAAGUAUUUUUACUCCAACUGUAAUCCAAUGGCUAGCGUAUUUACUCAAGGUUUCAUAUGUGCCUUCGACUGGUGAUUCUCUAUUUUCUUCUUUCCGAUUUCCUUGAGCCCGUUUAACUUGUGUUUUUCCAGCCUGAAUAUGUUUAGAAUUCUUUUCCUCGGUCACCCCUUUUCCUUCUUUAUUUAUUUUAUUCACAACCUGUUGAGUUUUCUCUACUUUUUUAGAAUGAAUAGGUUCACUGGAAGUGCUUAUUAUAUGUAAUUUAUUAAUUACUUGUAUGGGACGUUUAGGAAUAUUUUCAGUAGAUUUAGAAUUAUUCUUUGAAUUUUUAUUACAAACCUUUUUGCAAACCUUAUAGAUUCUGUUUUGGGUUUAGGGAUGGUUAUACUUUUAUUCUCUAUAGUCUGAGUUUUCUUAGAAUUUAAUGGCUUGACUUUGAGUUCGAUAAAGUUACUUUCUGAUGGUUUUAUAGAAGUGUUUGAGGGUGAUACGCUCGCUAUCUCUUUUCGUAUUAUAUUUGAAACGUUCACAAAAUUCGUGGAACCUUGCUUUUGUAUUCUUGCCGAGUCAACCGUGAUAUUAGGCAGGGGAUAAACGUCGCCUUUCGUUUCGUCGUUCAAUUUCCUAGUUUCUGCCUCUUUUGAAAGUUCUUUGAUAUUAGUGUUGUUUAUUUUGGCUGGGGAUUCGGGAGAUUUUUCACUCAUGAUUUCGUCUGUGGUGCCGUGCGUCCUCUUGCUACUUAAAGUAACAUCGUCUUUUAUCACAGCAACGGAACAGUGUUUGUAUUGGAAGGUUGGUUGUUUCAAAUAAUCAGCAUCCCUCCUUUGACUUGGAUCUCUUUUGAGAUGUUUAUCUACGCAUUUUUCUUUCCAGGUUAUUGCUCUUGCUCUUUUCCUAAUAUCUUUCUCUAUUCCCGGGUCGCUUAGACGAUUCCGCGACGGCGAUACAAAUCUCCAAUCCUGGUGGUGGUUUCUGAUGUUGUUACUAUCGUAUAGGGGACGAGUGUUGUUUCCAUUAUAAUUAUUCGGAGGUGUCGGACGAUUCUGCGUCGGCGGCACGAAUCUUCGAUCCUGGCGGUUAUUUCCGUUGAUAUUGCGGUUGUUGUUACAAUUGUUGUCGUUGUUAGGGCGAGAGCCGUUCCAGUUAUAAUUGUUUGGGUUUCCUAGUCGUUGACAUCGCGAUCUAUUAUUUACUUGUUUCAAUUCUCUUGUAGCUCUCACGGCUUGGCAAAACGCGUCGUCUAGGGAUUGAUAUCCGGCUAAUUUUACCCGCAUAAAUACCUCGUUCGGGAGUCCUUUAACGAAGGCUUUUGCCGUGUCCCAAUCUAUAGUGUCUUGGACAUCCGCGGACACGGUAUCAAAUCCGCAUCUUUCCUUAUCCAUUAUUGCUAGCCUGAGAUUUUUGACGCGAUCUAUGUAAUCUAGGAUCUCUUCCCCCGGUCGUUGAAACACCGUCGCUAGUUCACCUCUGUAUUCGUUAAUUGUUUUUCCCGGACCGAACAUAUUUUUUAACCUAUUUCCGAAAUCGUUCAGGGUUAAUACUACACCGUCCUCUACGGCGAGAAACGCGUGUCCGCGUAGUUUGUUCAUCAAUAAUUUAACUAAGUAAGGUUCUUGACUUCUUGGCACCAUACUUCGAGCUCGUUCGCAUGCCCUUAAAAAUUGAAAUACCGGUGGUCGAUGGCCGUCGAACACUGGCACUGACUCGAUCGCGUCUUUUAGUUUAAUUGGUUGAAAAUUAUCAUUAAUGGGUCUUAUUCCUCGCGGAAUUAACGGCGUCGAUGUGGGAAUUUCGGUAUCUCUCGAUUCCCUACUUGCACGCAGGUCUUCUUCCACUCUGCUUAGACUUGCAUUAAUGUCGGUUAGUACGCGAAAAUUCUCGUCCCACGCUUUCAAUUUUUCCGACAACAACAUAAUCGUGUCCUCAUUUAGUGAGUCUCGUGCGACCGCCAUGUUUUUUUUUCCUUUUGUAUAUGUUUAUGUGUAUGUUUCAGUUAAUAAACUGAAAAACUUUAAACCUA